rnacentral:pre_miRNA from 1 species
AGUGGGAUAACAGGGUCAAAUGGUGUUUCUAUUUCUAGUUUUUUGAGGAAUAUUCAUACUGCUUUCCAGAGUGGUUGUACCAAUUUUCACUCCCACCCAUAAU